rnacentral:lncRNA from 1 species
GUAAAAUAAUAUUUUUAGCAUUAUAGUAUAUGGAUGGAUAUUGCCCCCACAAUCUAAUAUUUCUGGCUCCGCCACCGGUGCUAAUACAACUUUAAUAUGGUAUUAAUACCACUCUUUAUGGUACUGAGACCAUUCUAAUAUAAUACUAGAACCAUUAUGACAGGGAACUUGGACCAGUCUGAUAUGGUGUUUCCACCAUACUAAUAUUAGCAUGUAUUUUUAAGUAUGCAUUUCGAGAGGCAAAAUGGUUAUCAAAA